AGGGUGGUAGCUCAGUGGUAGAGCGUCCAGCCAUGACCGCAGAUGGUCCCGGGUUUGAUCCCCGGUCACUCCA
rnacentral:tRNA from 1 species